rnacentral:rRNA from 1 species
CCUACGGGCGGCUGCAGUGAGGAAUAUUGGUCAAUGGGCGUAAGCCUGAACCAGCCAAGUCGCGUGAGGGAUGAAGGUUCUAUGGAUCGUAAACCUCUUUUAUAAGGGAAUAAAGUGCGGGACGUGUCCCGUUUUGCAUGUACCUUAUGAAUAAGGAUCGGCUAACUCCGUGCCAGCCGCCGCGGUAAUACGGAGGAUCCGAGCGUUAUCCGGAUUUAUUGGGUUUAAAGGGUGCGUAGGCGGCCUUUUAAGUCAGCGGUGAAAGUCUGUGGCUCAACCAUAGAAUUGCCGUUGAAACUGGAAGGCUUGAGUAUGUUACAGGCAGGCGGAAUGCGUGGUGUAGCGGUGAAAUGCAUAGAUAUCACGCGGAACCCCGAUUGCGAAGGCAGCCUGCCAGGCCAUGACUGACGCUGAUGCACGAAAGCGUGGGGAUCAAACAGGAUUAGAUACCCUAGUAGUC